GAGGAUAUAGCUCAGUGGUAGAGUACAUGCUUAUCACUAUCAUGCACAAGGUCCUAGGUUCAAUCCCCAGUACCUCCA
rnacentral:tRNA from 1 species